rnacentral:rRNA from 1 species
AUUGAACGCUGGCGGCAGGCUUAACACAUGCAAGUCGAGCGGAGAUGAGGUGCUUGCACCUUAUCUUAGCGGCGGACGGGUGAGUAAUGCUUAGGAAUCUGCCUAUUAGUGGGGGACAACAUUCCGAAAGGGAUGCUAAUACCGCAUACGCCCUACGGGGGAAAGCAGGGGAUCUUCGGACCUUGCGCUAAUAGAUGAGCCUAAGUCGGAUUAGCUAGUUGGUGGGGUAAAGGCCUACCAAGGCGACGAUCUGUAGCGGGUCUGGGAGGAUGAUCCGCCACACUGGGACUGAGACACGGCCCAGACUCCUACGGGAGGCAGCAGUGGGGAAUAUUGGACAAUGGGCGGAAGCCUGAUCCAGCCAUGCCGCGUGUGUGAAGAAGGCCUUUUGGUUGUAAAGCACUUUAAGCGAGGAGGAGGCUACCUGGAUUAAUACUCUAGGAUAGUGGACGUUACUCGCAGAAUAAGCACCGGCUAACUCUGUGCCAGCCGCCGCGGUAAAAC